AUUAAAAAUAUUUUGGAAAAAAUCUAAGUAGCUGAAUUUGAUCAAAGUGAUUGAACUAGAGUCCAAGGAGUGAGUGAACUAGAGUCCAAGGGGACCCUGCCAUCUUAAUUCACCGAAUCAAAACUGGUCCAGACUGGGACUGCGACCACCCUACCAUGGACAUGCCCUUUAAUUAUGUGCCCUCUACCAUGGAGUUAUUAUUAUUUAGUUUUUUUUACCAGAAUAUGAACUCAAGACCCCAAAAGUUUAGAAAUUAUUGUAAUAUGGAAAAGAAAUGAGAGAAA
rnacentral:misc_RNA from 1 species